rnacentral:sRNA from 1 species
ACUCACCCCUAAAACGUGGCAGAGGUUCCAGGCAAAAAGGCGCUGCUCCAACGCAUCGAACAAAAGAGAGAUUAAGCUAGAAAAGGCGAUCAGAUCAUCAUCAUCAUCAUCGAACUACAUAUCUGUAAGACUAAAGAAAAAAGGGUGUUGCUACAAAGAUGUACUAGGUGAUCAUCAGUCGGCGGAGCUGGCUUUCCCGACCUCCGCCUCCAGCGUCUCCAUCUGCUGCUCCAGCCACCUGAGCCUCUGGUUCAUGCUGUCCAGCCUCUUCCGCGCCGCCUCGUCUAGCUGCGCGACGAAUUGCGACAUGGCCACCUCCUGCCCACCGUCGGUGGCGGUGAGGCCGGCCUGCGGCGGCGGAGGAGCCGCACGCGGGUCCUCGGCGUGGGGUGGCAGCUUGGCCGACGACGAUCCCCCUCUCUUCCUCCCGAGCAUGGCCAUAGCUCGUCUUAGCUAGCUUGACCGUACCGAUCGAUUGAUCGCGCGAGGGUGGGUGGCCGGCCGGCCGGCGAUAAGCUUGCCACUGGCGAAUGAAUGAGACGGAGCUUGUUGCUGGAGGCGACUGGGAGACGUGCUGAUCCCUC